rnacentral:rRNA from 1 species
GACGAACGCUGGCGGCGUGCUUAACACAUGCAAGUCGAACGGAAAGGCCCUGCUUUUGUUGGGUGCUCGAGUGGCGAACGGGUGAGUGACACGUGAGUAUCCUGCCCUUGCCUUUGGGGUAAAUUCUGGAAACUGGGGCUAAUACCGGAUAUGAUCUUCUGCUGCAUGGUGGGGGUUGGAAAGUUUCGGCGUUUGGGGAUGGAUUGGCUGCUUAUCAGCUUGUUGGUGGGGUAGUGGCUUACCAAGGCUUCGACGGGUAGCCGGCCUGAGAGGGGGAGCGGGGUCAUUAGUCCUGGGCUACGGCCCAGACUGCAACGUGCGGCAGCAGUGGGUAAUAUUACGCAAUGGGCGGAAGCCUGAUGCAACGACGCUGCGUGCGGGAUUACGGCCUUCGGGUUGUGAACCGCUUUCGCCGGUGCCGAAGCGUGAGUGACGGUAAUGGGUAAAGAAGCCCCGGCUAACUACGUG